GGGAUUGUAGCUUAGUGGUAGAGUGCUUGCCUAGCAUGCAUGAAGCCCUGGGUUCAGUUCCUCAGUACCA
rnacentral:tRNA from 1 species